GCAAAAGAAGAUAGACCAUCAACAGACCUGAUAUCCCACAUCACAACGCAACACAUCCAUUUGAAAUCAAACAAACGUGAUGUCUGGCAACCAGAUCUUCCAGGCCUAACCUGUGAAAUCCAUGGGGGAUGUUACCCACAUGGGUUCUAGUUCUUCCUCUCUAGACUGUGAGGGUAUAAGGUUCUAGUUCUCCCCCUCUAAACUGUGAGGGUAUAAGGUUCUAGUUGUUCCUCUCUAGACUGUGAGGGUAACAUGGUUCUAGGUCUCCCUCACUAUAGACUGUGAGGGUAACAUGGUUCUAGGUCUCCCUCACUAUAGACUGUGAGGGUAACAUGGUUCUAGGUCUCCCUCACUAUAGACUGUGAGGGUAACAUGGUUCUAGGUCUCCCUCACUAUAGACUGUGAGGGUAUAAGGUUCUAGUUGUUCCUCUCUAGACUGUGAGGGUAACAUGGUUCUAGUUCUCCCCUUAUAGACUGUGAGGGUAACAUGGUUCUAGGUCUCCCUCACUAUAGACUGUGAGGGUAACAUGGUUCUAGGUCUCCCUCACUAUAGACUGUGAGGGUAACAUGGUUCUAGGUCUCCCUCACUAUAGACUGUGAGGGUAACAUGGUUCUAGGUCUCCCCUUAUAGACUGAGGGUAACAUGGUUCUAGGUCUCCCUCACUAUAAACUGUGAGGGUAACAUGGUUCUAGGUCUCCCUCACUAUAGACUGUGAGGGUAACAUGGUUCUAGGUCUCCCUCACUAUAGACUGUGAGGGUAACAUGGUUCUAGGUCUCCCUCACUAUAGACUGUGAGGGUAACAUGGUUCUAGGUCUCCCUCACUAUAGACUGUGAGGGUAACAUG